rnacentral:misc_RNA from 1 species
AGCAGCCGCGGUAAUUCCAGCUCCAAUAGCAUAUAUUAAAGUUGUUGCAGUUAAAAAGCUCGUAGUUGAAUUUCGGGGUUAGCAGGUCGGUCGUGCCAUCGGUAUGAACUGGUCUUGCUGAUCCCUCCCUCUUGACGAACUGUGAUGCCAUUAAUUUGGUGUCGCAGGGAAUCAGGACUGUUACUUUGAAAAAAUUAGAGUGUUUAAAGCAGGCUCACGCUUGAAUACAUUAGCAUGGAAUAAUGAAAUAGGAUGUUUGAUCCUAUUUUGUUGGCUUCUAGGAUUGACGUAAUGAUUAAUAGGGAUAGUUGGGGGCAUUAGUAUUCAAUUGUCAGAGGUGAAAUUCUUGGAUUUAUUGAGGACUAACUACUGCGAAAGCAUUUGCCAAGGAUGUUUUCAUUAAUCAAGAACGAAAGUUAGGAGAUCGAAGACGAUCAGAUACCGUCGUAGUCUUAACCAUAAACUAUGCCGACUAGGGAUCGGAUGAUGUUAAUUUUUUAAUGACUCAUUCGGUGCCUUA